rnacentral:misc_RNA from 1 species
GUGAAGAACGCAGCGAAAUGCGAUAAGUAAUGUGAAUUGCAGAAUUCAGUGAAUCAUCGAAUCUUUGAACGCACAUUGCGCCCCCCAGUAUUCUGGCGGGCAUGCCUGUUCGAGCGUCAUUUCAACCAUCAAGCCCUGCUUGUGUUGGGGUCCUGCGGCUGCCCGCAGGCCCUGAAAACCAGUGGCGGGCUCGCUAGUCACACCGAGCGCAGUAGCACAUCUCGCUCAGGGCGUGCGGCGGGCUCCAGCCGUUAAAGCACCCACCUUUCGCAAGGUUGACCUCGGAUCAGGUAGGAAUACCCGCUGAACUUAAGCAUAUCAAUAAGCGGAGGA